rnacentral:snoRNA from 2 species
AAAGCUCUUUUUUGUAGUGCGCUCGUCGCUAAACCAACAGACGCGGGCACGA